UAGGAAGUGGUGUAGUGGGAGCACUAAGAGUUUUGAUCUCUUCAGUUUGGGUUCGAACCCCUACUUUCUAA
rnacentral:tRNA from 1 species